UGUGGCUGGAUCACCUCCUUUUUAGGGAGACCUACUUCAGGACAUCGUGCGAUGAUAAUAAUAGCCGAGUCUUGAGGUCAUCCUUAGGUCGGAUGGGGCGGUCAGAGAGCUUUCAAACUUUAGGGUUCGUGUUAUGGGCUAUUAGCUCAGGUGGUUAGAGCGCACCCCUGAUAAGGGUGAGGUCCCUGGUUCAAGUCCAGGAUGGCCCACAUCCACCCCAAACUGGGGGUAUAGCUCAGUUGGUAGAGCGCUGCCUUUGCACGGCAGAAGUCAGCGGUUCGAGUCCGCUUACCUCCACUCUCCUUUAAUUAGGUGCUAGUUGGGGUGAGGUAGUCUUGAAUUGAGAAAUUGAGAGUUGGUGACUGUACAGCUCCUAAGUCUGUAGAUGUUAAUCUAGGACUAGAUAGCUGGACAUAAGUUCCAGUCAGAACCUUGAAAACUGCAUAGAGAAAAGCAUAAUGGUGUAGGAAAACGUCGUAAAGACAAUUCCAAUGUAGGUCAAGCUACAAAGGGCUAACGGUGGAUACCUAGGCACACAGA
rnacentral:tRNA from 1 species